ensembl:lncRNA novel transcript
UUGGAUUUAAGACAAAAAGCAAGUCCCCCAUGAGUGUCCACUUCUUUGCCCUGCCCUCUCAGCUUGUGAGACAACACAGGAGCCUUCUAUAGUAUGUUGAUAUGCUAGAUCUGUGCCGUUAAUAGGCAUCGUCUCUCAGCCUGAGGGAGGCUGGAUUCUGGGUUCCUGUAGUCACAGGGAGGAAAAGCUUUCUUAAAAAUGGACAUGUAUGUGCGUGUGAGUGUGUGUGUAGAUUUAUAGUUUUUGGUAGUGGCAGGAAUAAAAAAAAUCCAUCCUACAUCUUCCCUAAGCACUGCCUCUCUCUCACCCCCCAAAACAAGUUGACGAAAGGGUUUUAUGUAGCUGUCUAUGAGGAAUUGGCCGUGUCUGGGUGGGUUAUGGGAUGUGGGCAUCCCUGGGUUCUUGGAAGCAGCUCUUAUGCUACUCAUAGAGAUGGGAUUGACUUUAUUUUUUUAUAGUGCUUAAUUCACCAUUAUGAGAAAUGCUUCCAGUCACAAAAAUGCAGCCCAGCUCACUCUGAGGAAGAAGCAGGACUUGCUGUUCUCUGGUCCACCAAGGGCUAUGAGGCUCACCCCUUGGAUGGUGCUCAGAACCACAAGGAAUACUGAAGAAGCCUUGCCUAUGAUUUCAGGUGGCAUCAGACAUUGGGCUAAUUUUCAAGGUGUCUCUCCUUCCCAACAGGACAGUCGGAGUCUGGUUCUUUAAUAAAUAGCUAUAUGGAUC